rnacentral:rRNA from 1 species
AUUGAACGCUGGCGGCAUGCCUUACACAUGCAAGUCGAACGGUAACAGGUCUUCGGAUGCUGACGAGUGGCGAACGGGUGAGUAAUACGUCGGAACGUGCCCGAGAGUGGGGGAUAACGAGGCGAAAGCUUUGCUAAUACCGCAUACGAUCUCAGGAUGAAAGCAGGGGACCGCAAGGCCUUGCGCUCACGGAGCGGCCGAUGGCGGAUUAGGGAGGUGGGGGGAUAAAAGCUUACCAAGCCGACGAUCUGUAGCUGGUCCGAGAGGACGACCAGCCACACUGGGACUGAGGCACGGCCCAGACUCCUACGGGAGGCAGCAGUGGGGAAUUUUGGACAAUGGGCGCAAGCCUGAUCCAGCCAUGCCGCGUGCAGGAUGAAGGCCUUCGGGUUGUAAACUGCUUUUGUACGGAACGAAAAGACUCUGGUUAAUACCUGGGGUCCAUGACGGUACCGUAAGAAUAAGCACCGGCUAACUACGUGCCAGCCGCCGCCGUAACAC